rnacentral:lncRNA from 10 species
GACAAGCAGAAAUGCUUUUCAUGGAGCCAGGUAGCUCAGACUAACACUGCUGCGCCCCACUGGGGCCUUCGGUGGAGGGACGCUCUCCCGAGACUGCCGCAGACAGCGAGGUGUCAUCAUUAUCGCCGGUUACGUCCGACAGCCUCCGAGUGACUUCCAAGGUCCCGUGGCCGCGAUCCCACCUGCGGCGUCCGCGUCCGCCCGCUCUCCCUGAGGUCUGCACCCUGAGAGGAGGGGCGAGCGAGCCAACUUGGGGCAGGGAUCACCGUGUCCACAGGCGCCCACUGGUGUGGCGUCCUGAGAGUGCGUGCGUGAGCGAGCGAGCGGCUUAUCCUAGACUGAAGACCCAGGGAAACAGAUCUGUGUGGAGGAUGUUUCUGUUUUCAGCAGAACAGACGCAGCCCCCGAGUCAGUGCCGUCAGAAGACACGUCAGUCAAUUCAGUGGAAAACACUUCCAGUGUGAGGCGUUCGCCGGCGCCCCUUAGACGCGGCCGGGUCUGAGGCGCCUGCCGAGCGAGGUGGCGCGGCCCGGGAGCUGUGGUCGAAGCCCCUGGGCCUGGCGUGUAGGCUGCGCGGGCGGCGGCGGGCUGGGGGCGGGGCUCUCCGCCCUCCGCGCGGGUCCGCCUGGCCCCUCCCCCGCCCACCCCGCGCCCGUCCCGCCUCCCCCACCUUCUCCCAGAGGAGGUGACAGACGGGCCUGUAAUUUGGUUCCAUUCGCUCGACUGGAGCAACACCUGCCCCCCUCCCCUGGGACGCGAGGGUCUCAUCCCAAACCAGACAAGAAGCCAAAGACAAAUCCCAGCCCACAUGCAGAUCCGACGCGGAAAGGAGCGCGGCCUGCGAGGCAGACGCUGCCCACCACACACCGAGCCCAUCCAGGGACACCCGAACUUCACAUUAAACAUCACCCACAACUUUCAGUCUCAGAUUUACACUUUUUUAAAAAAUCAAGAGUUAGCUACUAUUGCAGCAAGUGAUAGUUUCUUCCACUCACACCACCUCACAAUAACACCAAGUGCCUGGCGUUAGGCUGUGUUGACAGCGAGGUUAGGAACCAGAGCCAGGUAUAAAGAACAAGGCGAUGGAGGUGUGCGGCUGCGUAGACGUCUGCCGGCCGAAGAUGGGUGUGCGACCCCGGAGGGGAUCACUUUCUUUGUGUAAGGCCUUUAGUGCCCAUAUCUAGCCUAAAUUAAGAAGGACACUCAUUUCCUUCUCCAUUUAGUGGGCGUUGUGCAAGGGCACUAACCACUAAGCCUUUCUGAAUAUUUCCCAAAGUCUAAGCAUCCUCGUCAGGAUCCUCUGGUGAGAGUGACUCAUCGGGAUCUCCUCCCCCAGGCUUGAUCCAGAGCUUAUAUAAGGCAUGAUGUCAGCACAGAGCCUUCUCCAGACACACGCAGAACCAGCCCACACGGAGGCCUCCCUCACCUGCUGCUUUGCAGUCCCUUUGAAGUUUCGGACUCUCCGAGUGGCACCAGAGGACAAGUCCACUGAGCAGGGCCCAUUUCUAGUCCAGGGCCUACGCCGCUUAAGGGAAAACCUGUUCUCACUUUCAGUUGCUGUCGUGUAUUUUUAUUUAUUUUCACAACAAAGGAAACGUAUUUUUUUUCCUUUUAUCAAAGUAUUUGCUUUUUAAUUGUAUUGCCCUAAAGACUCAUUUUCCCAUUUCAAUCCUAACUAGCAAUGUGACCUAGGGCAUAUCACCUAACUUCGUGUCUCAGUGUCUUCAUCUAUAAUUUAGGAAUAAUAACACCUUCUACUUCACUGAAUUUUUAGAGAAUU